rnacentral:rRNA from 1 species
UACGGAGGGUGCAAGCGUUAUCCGGAUUCACUGGGUUUAAAGGGUGCGUAGGUGGGCAAGUAAGUCAGUGGUGAAAUCUCCGGGCUUAACCCGAAAACUGCCAUUGAUACUAUUUGUCUUGAAUACUGUGGAGGUCAGCGGAAUAUGUCAUGUAGCGGUGAAAUGCUUAGAUAUGACAUAGAACACCAAUUGCGAAGGCAGCUGGCUACACAAAUAUUGACACUGAGGCACGAAAGCGUGGGGAUCAAACAGG